rnacentral:rRNA from 1 species
GGGCGUUAAGUUGCAGGGUAUAGACCCGAAACCCGGUGAUCUAGCCAUGGGCAGGUUGAAGGUUGGGUAACACUAACUGGAGGACCGAACCGACUAAUGUUGAAAAAUUAGCGGAUGACCUGUGGCUGGGGGUGAAAGGCCAAUCAAACCGGGAGAUAGCUGGUUCUCCCCGAAAGCUAUUUAGGUAGCGCCUCGUGAAUUCAUCUCCGGGGGUAGAGCACUGUUUCGGCUAGGGGGCCAUCCCGGCUUACCAACCCGAUGCAAACUGCGAAUACCGGAGAAUGUUAUCACGGGAGACACACGGCGGGUGCUAACGUCCGUCGUGAAGAGGGAAACAACCCAGACCGCCAGCUAAGGUCCCAAAGUCAUGGUUAAGUGGGAAACGAUGUGGGAAGGCCCAGACAGCCAGGAUGUUGGCUUAGAAGCAGCCAUCAUUUAAAGAAAGCGUAAUAGCUCACUGGUCGAGUCGGCCUGCGCGGAAGAUGUAACGGGGCUAAACCAUGCACCGAAGCUGCGGCAGCGAACGUAUCACUUAAAGCGAUUCAGCGGGUUACGAUUGACGGAGCGAAGCGACGUCAAAGCGUAUACAAAGUCGAGUCGGUUUAAGGAUACGUUCGUUGGGUAGGGGAGCGUUCUGUAAGCCUGCGAAGGUGGCCUGUGAGGGUUGCUGGAGGUAUCAGAAGUGCGAAUGCUGACAUAAGUAACGAUAAAGCGGGUGAAAAGCCCGCUCGCCGGAAGACCAAGGGUUCCUGUCCAACGUUAAUCGGGGCAGGGUGAGUCGACCCCUAAGGCGAGGCCGAAAGGCGUAGUCGAUGGGAAACGGGUUAAUAUUCCCGUACUUGGUGUUACUGCGAAGGGGGGACGGAGAAGGCUAUGUUGGCCGGGCGACGGUUGUCCCGGUUUAAGCGUGUAGGUGUGUGUUCCAGGUAAAUCCGGUU